UACGUAGGUGGCAAGCGUUGUCCGGAUUUACUGGGCGUAAAGAGCACGCAGGCGGUUGGAUAAGUCGAAUGUGAAAGCCCCCGGCUUAACUGGGGAGGGUCAUUCGAUACUGUUCAACUUGAAGGCAGGAGAGGGCAGCAGAAUUCCCGGUGUAGUGGUGAAAUGCGUAGAUAUCGGGAGGAAUACCAGUGGCGGAGGCGGCUGCCUGGCCUGUUCUUGACGCUGAGGCGCGAAAGCUGGGGGAGCGAACGGG
rnacentral:rRNA from 1 species